CCUACGGGCGACAGCAGUGAGGAAUAUUGGUCAAUGGACGAGAGUCUGAACCAGCCAAGUAGCGUGAAGGAUGACUGCCCUAUGGGUUGUAAACUUCUUUUAUAAAGGAAUAAAACGCGGCACGUGUGCCUUUUUGCAUGUACUUUAUGAAUAAGGAUCGGGUAACUCCGUGCCAGCAAGCGGCGUUAUACGGAGGGUCCGAGCGUUAACCGGUAUUUAUGGGUUUAAAGGGGGCGUAGAUGGGUUGGUAAGUCAGUUGUGAAAGUUUGGGGCUCAACCGUAAUAUUGCAAUUGAUACUGGCAGUCUUGAGUACAGGUGAGGUAAGCGGAAUUCGUGGUGUAGCGGUGAAAUGCUUAGAUAUCACGAAGAACCCCGAUUGCGAAGGCAGCUUACUAACCUGUGACUGACAUUGAUGCUCGAAAGUGUGGGUAUCAAACAGGAUUAGAUACCCUUGUAGUC
rnacentral:rRNA from 1 species